GACAUAAACCGUGGCGACUGAUCCGAACAACACGAAGCACCCCAAGAAGAACACCAACCCCGACGACAUUAGAUACCUCCACCUGCACCUGCACUUCACGCUCAUGUUGCAGCAGGUGCCGCCGCUACUACCCCCACCAUUCGCACGACCACCACCCACAGCACCGCCGCCACCCGAGGCCGGACUCAAACCCAUUUUUUCCCAGAACGACACCGGACGCGAACGCAGGAUGGGGUGUCACCGCCGCAGGAAGAACGCCGUAACAACCGCCACCGGCAUUUGGGUUUGAUUAAUUGUCUGAUUAGUAAGCGCGUUUUUACGUGAUGAUUGGAAUUUAGACGUCCUGGGUUUUGGAAAAAUGAAAAAGGUGACGGGGCGGGACAGAGAUUUACUUUCGAGAAUUAAAUUUUUUUUUCCAGAAAUUUUUUGAGUUGGUGGUUUUAUACAGAAAGCGUUUUAGAGGACGACAAUGCGACAAUGUUUUCCAUGUUAUGAGAGAACAAGAGUCUGUUUAUAUAGAGCGGUCCGCCGAUCAAAUCCUUAUUAAAUUACUGUACUACUACUGAGUGAUCAUCGUAUAAAAUCCCACUUUACUCUUUUAAAUAAAAUAUAUUACAUGUUCGGGAAUUUUUAUUGAUAUUUUAAAAGCACUUUAAAUUUUUUAUAAUUAAAGAAAAAAACAUAUAUUUAUAAAAAAUUUAAAGUGAUAAUAACAAUUGCUAUUUGUUUUUGUUUAAUUCUUGCAGCAAAACAAAAACGUCUUUUUUUUUUAAUUAUGUUGGUGUUUCCAAAACAUACAGCUCUUUUGGAAGUUGGUUAAGCUCAAGUUUACAAGAAAACUUGUGUGGUGCUGGUGCUAAUCUACCACUUGACAAUGUUGAGUAACAUUAUCACGGCAGUCUUAUCAUGUUUUCUAAUUUUAUAUCAAAAUAACGUCAAAACUUGAAGCAUAAUUUUUGAAAAAAAUAUAAAACAAAAUAAAAACUAAAAUGGUAAACACAAAUCACAACCCCUCUCUGGUUUCGGGUUCCAUUGAAACUUCGAAGUUAAACAAGUUCGCGCUAGAGCAAUCUCAUAAUGAGUAACCCACUGGAAAGUUUUAGUCUGAGUUAUCAGAAACAAAACUGUGAUGGCGUGAUCAGGGCCCAAAACGAAAAAUAUCGUGUUAAAUUGGAGGGUAUCAGGCAGCUUAUGUUAUGGACCUAUUGAAUUGGAAGGUAUCAGUCAAUGAAAGGGAGUGGGAUAAGUGGAGAGAAGGUUUUUAUUAAGUGACCCUUCAAACAUACUCAUAUCAUUAAGAUAAUCAGUAAAAAUUGAAAAUUCAUAAUGCAAUUCAUGAAUAUAAGUGUCACAAAUUAAUGUAAGCUGACUUAAUAAUAUUUCAUCUUGUUGAGUCUCUGGAAUAUAUUUAUUCAUAUUUAUUAUUAGAAUAUUUAUUUUAUUGCGGAUUGUUGACAUAUAUCCAACAGAAAACCUAUAAAAACAUGUAUGACGUUCACGGAUGUCGGAUAUACUGGCAAGCUACAAACACCGUUCCGAGAAUUCAAAGGGGCAAUAGUAUUAUACAGAACAAAACUCUUAAGUCUGAUGUUUCAACAGUCCGAUAUUCUAUGUUCUCUUAGAGUAUAAGAUAUUCGAGUGUUUUAAUUAAAUUUUCGUUUAAAGAUAUAAAAUUAUAAUUUAAUGGUUAAAGCACGGGAUAUAUAUUUCAGAGCAUCAUUGAAUUUUUGUAAAGAAAUUAAGAAAGAAUUAAACAUAAGUAAGAUGAGUUUGUUUUAGAGCCAUUUUAUCCGUUUUUCUCUUAAUCGCACACGCAGCAGAGAGUUGGAAGCAAAGGAUGUGUGGAUGGUAUAGGGACUUCUGUAACACGGCAUGUGGUACAUGACAAUAUAUAGUAUUUUGAUGGCGACUAGGCAGUGCAAUACAAACUUUUGUUCCGCAGGACCUUGCGCUAUGGACCUAUUGAAUUGGAAGGUAUCAGUCAGCUUACGUUAUGGACCUAUUGAAUUGGAAGGUAUCAGUCAAUGAAAGGGAGUGGGAUAAGUGGAGAGAAGGUUUUUAUUAAGUGACCCUUCAAACAUACUCAUAUCAUUAAGAUAAUCAGUAAAAAUUGAAAAUUCAUAAUGCAAUUCAUGAAUAUAAGUGUCACAAAUUAAUGUAGUCUUUUCAUUACAAUUUUCAUCAAAAUUUAUGUUAGUUUGAUAAUGUAACAAAUAUGUGAAUCCACAAGUCUAUUAAAUAUUUCCAUAUGGAAAGAUUAAGAAGUUGAACAAUCUUUCGAGACUUAAUGAUAAGAAUCAUUCUUUUUGUGUGUAUUAUGUUGCCAUCGUUCUUUUGCCAUAUUUUUGUGGAUAUUGUGAAAUACAAUAUUCUAGCUAUAACAUUUGAUAAUAGUGGUUCAUAAAUUUUGUUAGUACCACGACAUAUUCAUAUACUUGAAAAGAUAUGAGGUAAGGUAUCGUUUGGUUUGUGGGACGGGAUGGAACGGAAUGGGACGAGGCGUUCUGUCCCACGUUUGGUGCGCCUAAAACGGGUGGAACACGCUGUUCCACAGGACGAGUUUUUGGUGAAUUUUCGUUCCACCUCACCCCCCUGGAACGACAUGUUCCACAUCCGUGGAACACAAAAUUAUAACAUCUCUGUCUCCUUCUUCUUCCUCCUUGUUUCCAUUCGAGGGCAUCUUUACUCCCUCUCCGUUCCGUCCUAUCCUGUCCCGUCCCGUCACGUCCCAUUUUGUUCCGUCCCAUCCCGUUUGCAUACCAAACGAUACCUAACUGCAUGAUGGGAUAAAACCCACAAUUUAAAUGAAUUUCUGUUUCAAGAAAAUUGCGGUACGCAAGCCUCGAUCUUUUGUUACUCUGCUUAAUUAAUAUUUCAUCUUGUUGAGUCUCUGGAAUAUAUUUAUUCAUAUUUAUUAUUAGAAUAUUUAUUUUAUUGCGGAUUGUUGACAUAUAUCCAACAGAAAACCUAUAAAAACAUGUAUGAUGUUCACGGAUGUCGGAUAUACUGGCAAGCUACAAACACCGUUCCGAGAAUUCAAAGGGGCAAUAGUAUUAUACAGAACAAAACUCUUAAGUCUGAUGUUUCAACAGUCCGAUAUUCUAUGUUCUCUUAGAGUAUAAGAUAUUCGAGUGUUUUAAUUAAAUUUUCGUUUAAAGAUAUAAAAUUAUAAUUUAAUGGUUAAAGCACGGGAUAUAUAUUUCAGAGCAUCAUUGAAUUUUUGUAAAGAAAUUAAGAAAGAAUUAAACAUAAGUAAGAUGAGUUUGUUUUAGAGCCAUUUUAUCCGUUUUUCUCUUAAUCGCACACACAGCAGAGAGUUGGAAGCAAAGGAUGUGUGAAUACGGAGGGGUAUAUAAUUUUACGGAUUUGGUAUAUUGGCGUCCAAAGAGCAAAUAUACCCGUCAAUUGGUGAUAGUACUAAGUACUAUAUACAUCGUUCCGCUAAGAUAAAUAUUUUACUUUCCAUUAAAUUGUCCAUGGAAGAGUUUUGGACCAACAAAACAUUCAGUUUCAUUCAUGAUUUGGUCGGACGGUUUCAUUUAUAUUUCGCAACUAUAUCACAACCAUGGUAGAUCAAUGCCAUCUAUAAAAAGACAAUAAUGCCCUUUUUAGGGCAAAAACUAUAAAGGUCAGCAUAGUUGAGAAUUUUCAUGCAACAGGAAUGACACUGUGAUGGUAUUUCAAGUUAAUUACAAACGUCGUAUCCAAAAAUCAACUUGAAAUACAUUCACAGUGGUUGAGUUUCUCUCCUAUCUUACACAACGUACACAAUUAUAGUAAUCAACCAUAUAACACAAUCAAGCACCAUUAUACAAUUUCCCUUGAUGCUACAUAUCCUCCACCCAAAUUUGUACACACUACUUAUCCGAUUAAACACAAAACAGUUCACCUUUUUCAUGAUUCAUUCCGGCAAUAUGCAAUCAAAGUACUUGGCAAAACAUCAUCUCUCAAACUAGUUCUACCCACAUGUAAAGCAGUAACGUCACAAUACAAACUUUUCCCCGCGGAGAGGCCAUGGGACGUCCAAAAUCAAGACGAUAAACACACAUACUAUAUCAAUUUCUAGCAAGACAUCAGUAAAACACAAAAACAAUGCACAUCUUACUAAUCAAAAUUCAAAUCUAUUGAUAACUAAAUUCCCCCACAAGAAAUUCACAAGGGAUGGGGAGGGGGAGGGGGAGGGGAAGGAGCAUACAAGGGAAUUACUAAAAGUUUACUAAAGGAUGAGACAAGGAUUAACAAAUUCAGGAGUUGUAAGCGACUAGCUACUAUACCUCCCUCACUAUACGUCCCAACCAUCCUUCCGCCCAUUGAAUUUCCACUUGCGCCUGGCCAAACUUCCGUACAUCUCAGAAAAUUUCAGGAGGCAGUUGCUCCUUAUAUGGUAGUGAACUUUGGUAUUUCGGCUUAUUGCAGCACCAGAUAAUUUUGAUGUAUCUAUUGCCCAUGCUGGCCUCACAUACUCCACAUUCUUGGAUUCACUAGCAUUUGCAUACAAGUAAUUCAGCAGCACGUCCUCGCAGUUGAAAUAUUUGUCCACCAAUUCCCUUGCUUGGCUAGCUUCUUUUCCCCAAUACCUCUUGAAAGCUACUUGACCAUCGAUGAAAGCUGCCCCCGUGAGAAUCAUGUUAUAUCCUUUAUGGGUCCGGGCAUAUUUCUCACCUCGAUACUUCAACGGGCUCCCAUCAAUUAAUCGGGGGUAGAAACCCACAAUACGGUCUGGGUGUUGACGCCAUAUUCUGAAUCCCCGCUCAACAUCAUUGCAAGUCAUCAUAAUGUCGUCAUCAAGCUCCAGAACUGCUCGGGUCUUUAUCAAAGAAUCCAACUUGAAGCGAUUAUUCAGUGAGUUUUGUUUCUCUAAUCUGAUCCUAACUGGCACUGUGGAGUCAAAAUCGCUAACUUUAGGUGGUAUUCCUUUGUUCCACACCACAACAAUUUCUCGCACCGAGGAACAUCUGGAAUAAUGUUUAACAUACAUUUUCAAAUUCCAGAGACGAGCAUCAUAGGUCAUUGUUAAUAAGGUGAACUGCGAGUAGUGACCUUUCCAUUGGUAAGCUUCUUCUGCACCGCUACCACCAUAGAUAUAUUUAACCCCUGUGCACAUAGCCGCAACUCCAAAUGCCAAAAUUAUAGCAAGAACCAGUCUUCCAGCACAGGUACUAGGUUUAAUCCUACCUCUGAGGAAUGAAACUCCUCUGUUCAAGCGGCUGCAAAACCGUCUCACUUUGGCUGAAAACAAAUGUGACCCUUCCCAGGCCAAGAACGCAUCACUCCGCUUCCCAGAGUUGUGAGUGCACCAAUUGAGAGGAAUCAUGCACUUCACAGCUCCAAGUAGUACACCCAGCAAUAUAAUGAGUACAGCAACAACGGCAACUGAAGCACUACCAAAAAUAAACCUCCGAACUGAAUCCCCAGAUGGUACCCGGUCUCCAUCCAUCACUCCAACCCACUCACCAGUAUUUAUUUGCUGCACAUCUAGAUGAUGAUGGCGAGCACCAUUCCAUGCAUUGCGACCCUUACUUGGCUCCAUCAAGCCCAAGGGAACUUCAACUUCUUUGUAAUCAUCUUUGGUAAGAACUUCCACCUUAAAGGUGCGCACUCUUCUCCCAUAUGUUUCACCACAGUCUUGACCAACACGAUAAAGAUUUCCGUUGUAGAAAAAUGGUCUGCCUCCAUUUCGAGCCCCAAAGCUCUUGUCGCCAUUAUAUAUAGGAUUCUUCUUGUGUGGUUUCCAAGGACCAAGAGGGGAGCUGUUAUACCAGAUUUCCAAUUGUCCAUUCUUUGUGGUGCCAAAUCCAGUGUUAUCUGAACCAAACAACCAAUACGCUCCAUUAUAAUUGAUUAUGAAAGAAUCAACAAGAGGCUUUUUCAUGAUCACUUUCUCCAGAGUCCAUUGCAAUGGAAAAUUGAGUGCUCGGUACAGACGAAGUUCCCCUUUCAUACUACUCUCAGGCAUCAUAUAUAUCUGUAAGAAACAAUAAGAAAGAAGUUAUACAACAGAUAUCAAAUUUACCCCAGAAAAUUAGGUGAUAGGUGCUUUUUUUUUUUCUGCAGGCGAUAGGUUUUUUUUGUUUUUUUCCUGCAAUCAAUGUGUCCCGUUAAGCUGCAACUUGGCCAAGAUGCGUCUAACAAUUGUUUAGAAAUAAUUUGUUACAGUUAUUUACUUUCAUUCACGCCGGUGAUGGGAUCUAUUGGGCCAGUGUGCACGUAAAAAGAAAUGCAUUCUUACUUGGCCAAGGUAGUUGAAGACAUAUGGGUAAGAGAGAUGCCACUCUUCAUCCAAGGCAGCGCCCAAUUGCUGCCAUGUUGCUCCCUUAUCAAUACUUUUUGAGACUCCAAUAUCCCCUUGCAAAGUGAUUGAAUUUUUGGUUUCGUAGAACAAGUAAAAAGUAUCUCCCUGAAACGAGAAGCAGAGAUGUUGAGUAGAAUGAACCAAGUAAUUCUAAAAACACUGCUAACAGUCCCAAAAGGUCCAUGAGCUGGGAGAAUCAUAGUACAGCUGAAUUUAAAAAAUAAAUAAAUUAAAAAAACAGACACAACACUCUGGAUUUUUGUAAACAUCUUGGUCAGCAUAAUACCAGUUCUUGCCCAAAGGGAAAAAAAUUGAAAAUUGUUAAAACUCGUCAAAUAACUUCUGAUUUUUGUUCUGGAAGUAAUUUUUCCCAGCUGGAUGACGAGGGGAGGAGGGCCUGUCUUAAAAAAUAUAUUUCUGUCCUUCAUGGUGACAAACAAUGAACCGAGUGCAAUGGUGUUCUAGGAUUCAUAUAGCCGACCCCACUUAGUGGGAAAAGGCUUUGUUGUUGUUGUGUAUGGUGACAGACAAUCACAUCCUGGUCAAAUUGAAAAGAUGUAAAACAGCAGUAAAUAAAAUGGUAAUUUUCCUUUUUAUCAAAGCCAAACAAUAAAAAAUUACCCUUUUUCGUCAAGGAAAUCAUUUUUAUUGGAAGAAUUUUCUACCAAAGCAAAUGGAUCCUUGACUUAAGUUUGAAAAUAUAAAAUAUAAGGGAUCAAACACAAACUAAUUACAAUGACAAAAUAUACUUGACAACUUAUAUUGGCUGUCCCUUUCAGGGCAACUACAUUCUAAGUAGACAACAAUAUCAUGACAAUUUUAGUAAGUGGUGGUCCCGGGCAAAGCACUGUCGGAAUACAAACAGGGUCUUAUAUUUGUCAAGUUACUGGAAUACCUAUAUCCAAUAUGAUCAGCACCCAGUAAAGUCAGGUGAUACCAAUAUCAAAACAAUCUAUUAAUAAAAUGACAAAAGGCAAGUCUUUUUCGCCACAAGAACAAUACAGCGAAGAAAAGGAACCCCAUGUUAGCAAGAAAGAGGGACUCUCUCGCUACCAUUUGGAUCCUUUUCAAAAUCAUGUUUUGCUAGAGAAAGAGGAAUCAACCAAACACACCCAUGAACAACCACAUCCAUCAUGCACUUAAUGUCCACCACAUACCUCUCCUUACUACAAAUUGGCUACAUGACACCCACAGAUUGAGCACAGAGAUGACAAAGAAUAUCAGUGCUUUCAGAAGAAUCUGACAACAAUUAUCAUUCUGCAUCAAGUGUGUAUGAGUUAGGAAGACAAAUGUUAACCUAACACUAGCUAGCAUCCAACAAUGGGGUGUUUUGACCAAAAGCAGUAGUAUUCGCAAUGUUCAAUAAAAUUGCAACCAGCUAGCAAUUAGAAAAGGGGAGAUACUUAAUAUAUUCACAGAGACUUAGCACAUGAAGAUGAUUCCAGCGGACAAGUAAUAGAAGAUCUUAAGUAUUCAAGACAAGGAUACAUUCUCAAAAUCUCUAUUUCUCAAUUUUUUUCAUGUUAUAGCAUUGUACACAAAAUGCGUAAUCAGAGAAGUAUCAGUUUCCCAAAAAAUCAUUACCAUAUAGCCACAUAGUCAUAGCAUCUUGUGUUGUAAUGUAAACUAUUACCAAUUUUCUGAUGGUAUAUUUAAAUCCAACACAAAGGAAACCUCCAAGGCUCCUAUCAUAAGGGCCACAAAAACUUAAGGUCAUCAUUAGGCUUUUGAAGCAAAUCGGAUAAACUUCAAACACAAAACACAGAAACUUCUAGUAUAGAGAAUAACUACAGAAAAUUUAUGGCAUCCAUUAUGGUUAAUGUCUGAAGUGAAAAUACUCAUAAGAAUUAGAUUAUUGUAAGGUAAACAAAAUCAAUUGAAAAUGAUAAGGCACUAGAUCGAAACAUUCACUAGUUCACUGUCAUCAUCAUGUCCAUGCUUUCCAAAUUUAUAUAAGUUACCUACUGAAGCAUUAAUACAGGUUCAUUUUCUCAACCGAGAACCAAUAAAAAUAUUUUUCAAUUACUAUCAGCCACACAGAGUGUAAUGCUCCAGAACUCCCUAAUUCCAUAUUGACAAACAAAAUUAGAAGGCCUACAAUCAACUUACGUCAGAACAGUGAGGUAAGGCAUAACUCAAAAUAAUCUGGAUUGCCUCUGUCACAAUAAUGGGCUUCAGAGAUGUUAAUGCAAAAUACUCAAAUGAAUGCACAACCUAACAAUUCAAACUCUAUCUCCAUCGCUAAUGUCUUUACAAAACGAUAUCAUAUGCUCGCUUAAACUUGUUAUCACUGUUGCUACAAACAAGAGAAGAAAAAGUAUUGUUGAAACCUUACAACUUAAGUGUACCAAAUCCCGAUUCCAGCCCUCUAAAUCUGACCCAAGGAAAAUUGAUUAUAAUUUGUACCCUACCAUAUCCAUUAAGCUCUAAGCCUGAAAUCAUUUAAUCUUCAAAGUUAUAUGAGAAACACUGCAUAAAUACACUGCAGUAACAAUUCACUCAAUGUGUAAAAUAUACAAGCUCAUGAAAUUUCGAGUUCUGGACAAUAUUGUACAGUAAUUUGAUCUUCGAAUUCUGCAUAUCAGUACCAAACUGAAUUGACAUGCAAUCAAUCAUACAUUAGAACUGUAAAAAAAAUUAAAAAAAUUAAAAAAAUAAAACUAAAAUAUUUGAAGGGCAGAGCUAAUACCUGGACAUAAAGGAAAGGAUCAGCAACAAAAUUACUUGGGAAACCAGCAUCAGAAAUAGAAGAACAAGUCACAACAGGGUUCGCCACGGGCCAAGCUGCAGUUUUGUCCCUCCAUACAUCCAUCUGCACCAAAAUCCAACCCAGUUUCAAAAUUCAAAUCUCCAAAAAUCUAUAAUUUAACAAAUAUUUAAAAAAAAACAAAAACAAUAUCCAAACCAACAAAAUAAAAUUAAGAUAAAAGAGUUUGCUUGAAGAACUUUUCCUCCCAGAACUAAACAAAAAUUAAUAAUUUAAUACUCAGGAAAAACCCACACUUCCAGGAAGGCCAAUUCAUCCCAAACAUGUCAAAAUCAAAAGAAGACCAAAUUGAAAAUUCCAAGCCAAACCCACAGAACCCCAAAACCAAACUAAAAUUAAAAAAUAAAAAUACAGAAAAAUACACACCCCAUACAGUUACAAAGAAAAAGAAGAAAUCUUACAGCUUCAAUGGGCUUGAGGGAAAAAGGAGAGUCUCCGAAGAAAAUACCAAGAGACCAUGAACCUUCAUUGUCCUCCUGACACCCAAGCAUGGAGGGAGAGGCCAACGCCGCCCGAGCAUAAUACGGCGGGAAGGCGAACCAGACAUAAACCGUGGCGACUGAUCCGAACAACACGAAGCACCCCAAGAAGAACACCAACCCCGACGACAUCAGACACCUCCACCUGCACCUGCACUUGACGCUCAUGUUGCAGCAGGGGCCGCCGCUACUACCCCCACCAUUCGCACAACCACCACCCACAGCACCGCCGCCGCCCGAGGCCGGACUCAAACCCAUUUUUUCCCAGAACCACACCGGACACGAAAGCAGGAUGCGGUGUCACCGCCGCAGGAAGAACGCCGUA
rnacentral:lncRNA from 1 species